AUGAGUACAGACAAGAUAAAAUCCAGUCAACAGAGUUCAAUUCAACCACAACAAACUGUGGUAAUCAAGUCUGCUUCAGCUCAGUGGACUUCCAGAGUAUGUUGAAAAGACCUAUACUGGCCAAAAUAAAGCAAUGAACCUACUCGUUUGAGACUCAGUCCAACUAAGGAAUCAGUGAAACCUCCUUUCUCUGUAGGCAUGCAAUUGGUAUGGCUAAAAUUUUAAGAAUAUCUACUUCCACUUGUUUGUGGUUCUGUCCCUUGCCAACUGUAGAUAGAAAGGAGGACAGCCUGAUGAUGAAAAAUCUUAGACAUCUGAUGGUAAAUGACUUGGAGUACUCUUUUUUUAUUUUUUGGUGUAGCUCACCGUAUUUGAAACAAAUGCAGGACGUCAUCUGUACUGUUGCUACCAAAAGGGUGUGUGAGGCCUGUGGAGAAGUUUGUUUCAAGAAUUCUGUAUUAAAGAGUUUUGCUCUGUCCAACUCAACUCAUUGCUAGUAUUCAUUAUCUAACAUCAGCAGCACCUGUAACAAUCCAAAAGAAAAUUCUAACUGAAUUUGCUUGCUAGGCCUCUCCCUCACACCUACAGGGAGCACUGACAAAAUGUGUGCAUUGGUGAGAAGCAUUAGGAGAUGUGCACAUUAGAAUCACCUAGGAACAGGGCAGGAGGUUCUAAUAUAGACUCCAGGGCUGUCAAACCAUCAUAUGAUCCCACUGAUGACAAAACUACUGGUGUAUCUAAGCACCUUUUCUGAAGCAUGUGGAUGUUCCCUCUUUCCUUCUCUUCCCCUUGAACCUGAAACCUGGACCUGUUGCUGCUGGUCAAGAGGAGUGUGGAGUUCAGACUCAGGCCCUGGAGCUGAAACCCAGAGAUGUUGAUGAGGCCUGCUAAAGGCGAGAGUAACAAACACAGAAGCUGCAACGAGUCUGGCAAAUGACGCAGCUCCCUCAUGCUCGUGUUGGGCAGAGAUCCUCAGCCCUCCCAAGGGCACAGAAUGGUCCAAGUUUGCAAGACCAGAGCUCUCUCUGAUGCACUCUGAGGACAGAGCAUAUGCUAGACUCUGCAACAGCCUACUUGGCAGAGGGUCUCCUAUAAACCAUGUGCCAAGACAAAAGUUCAUCUGGUUUUACGGAUGCCUGUGAAACAGUCAGUCAAAGUUUGAGGACACAAAGAUAUUAUCACCUGAGAAGGGACCAGAGCAGAAGCACUGCUGCUCUGCAUAGGAAUUUCUUUGACCUUAUUCUCAGUCAAGGGUCCUUUGCUACCAAGUUGGGCUUCCUCCACUUUUGUGAUCUUCAAAGGAAGACAUCUGCUCUUUCAAGCUUUUGCUUAAUGUCUCUGUAUGGCAUUAACAAGUUGAUUGCAAUAACAAAAUAAAUUAAGUAUUUUUUUCAGUUUUGAAAGGGAAUCCUUUUCUAGCAUUCAUUUCAAGUAGUAGCAUGACACACGUAUGCCUCAAUGGCACCAUGUACCAACAGGCUAGCUUAGGAUUGAAAUGUGUCUUGCAAAGACAUCAUUUCAUUAACUUUACCUAAAUUUAAGAAAACUUGGAGAUGGGGAACACCUACAACAAAACUCCUGAUAACUCUAUUAGUAUCAGUAAGUCAGAAACAGAUUUUUAAAAAAUGGUAGGAGAAGAGAUGAGGAAAAAAGAUGAAUAUGAGCAACUGCUGGAAAUGUGCAGAGGUAAGGGAUACUGUCCUCUUGAUAGCUGUAAUAUCCAACAAAGCCCUGUUGUCAAAGUCUUCUCAACUAUUCUUGUGUGAGGUGUACCACCCUAGGGCAAAAUCCCAGCAGAUGUCUCACAGAUGUGACAACUCCAGCUCUGAUAACGUGCUACAGUGACCUGUGGCUUCGGGGACACCAUGCCACCCUUUCUACUGCUUUUGUAGCACACUUAUCCUUUUAUUUGCCAGAGCAGAGAGCACACAACCUCUUCAAGAAAGUAUCUGCAAGGCCAGAGGAACGGGGAACAGACUGAUCCACGGCAAUGAAUUCUGCCUCAGGAGACAUGAGAAAUAUUCUGGAAGCAAAAGACAGUCAGUCAGCUGGGGACAACUCAGGGCAGGACACCGAGAG